UACGUAGGUGGCAAGCGUUGUCCGGAUUUACUGGGCGUAAAGAGCGCGUAGGCGGAAGCUUAAGUGUGGCCUGAAAGCCCCCGGCUCAACCGGGGAACUGCGUUUGAUACUGUUCGGCUCGAGUCCGGGAGAGGGUAGUGGAAUUCCCAGUGUAGCGGUGAAAUGCGUAGAUAUUGGGAGGAACACCGGUGGCGAAGGCGGCUACCUGGACCGGUACUGACGCUGAGG
rnacentral:rRNA from 1 species